UACAGAGGUCCCAAGCGUUGUUCGGAUUCACUGGGCGUAAAGGGUGCGUGGGUGGCCAGGUAAGUCUGAUGUGAAAUCUCGGAGCUCAACUCCGAAACUGCAUUGGAUACUAUCUGGCUGGAGGGUCGGAGGGGGGACUGGAAUUCUCGGUGUAGCAGUGAAAUGCGUAGAUAUCGAGAGGAACACCAGUGGCGAAGGCGAGUCCCUGGACGACUCCUGACACUGAGGCACGAAAGCUAGGGGAGCAAACAGG
rnacentral:rRNA from 1 species